ACCUUUAAGAUCCAUGAGUACAGCCAUCUCCAUCUUAUAAAUGAAGAAACAAAGGCCCAGAGGGUUUCCCAAAGUCCCUCAACAGUUAGUUAGGGGCACAGUUUGGACAAAAUCCAAUCCAGAGAUCAUAAAAACAGUCCACUCCUUGGUCAAGGAGUGGGUCAAAUGGGAGGAUUCUCGAGGGCCUGGAGGGGGAUCCCUCUGACCAUUAGGGCCCGCCCUAGAUAGAGGCAGUGGAGGUACCUACUCUCCAUCUUUGAAAGGUACCUUCUAUCCCUGUCUAGCAUUGUCAGAACCUGCAAAGAGCCUCUUAUCUCCUCACCAUGGGAAAGCCCACUACAUAUGCCUAGUAAAGGGACUGAACAUGAAGGAAAUACCAAUACUGACCUGCUCUCCAAAGAAUGAGCUUCUGGAUUCCACCAGCUGGUUUUGGUGUCUCGCUUCCCCUGCAUUCCUAACUCUGCACCCUCAGCUCAGGUGCCCAUGGCCUCCGGAGGCAGCCGACUCAAGCCCCAGAGCAUUCCACUCAACUUGGAGGGAAUCCAACAGAACCAGCGUAUGUGGCUGGUGAAGGUACCAAAGUACCUAUCGCAGCAGUGGUCGGAAGCUUCUGGAAGCGGUGAAGUAGGGAAGCUGAAGAUUGCCACAAAUCAAGGGAAGUCGGAAAUCUCCUUUACUCUGAAUAAGGAACUUACAGACAUUCGGGGUACAAAUGGACAACCGGCCCCGGUCCACGCUCCCACGGAGCAUCAGUUUCUCUUGCGUUCAGACAGAGGGCAGGUCCUCACGGUGCUUACUGAGCAUGCGCCGGAUCAACUUUCCCUGCAAGGAACCGUGGUCCAUCGUGGCGAAUGCAGACCCGCUCCCAGUGAAAACUACAUGAGGCUAAAGAGGAUGCAAAUAGAGGGGGCUUCCAAACCUGCCAGGAUUGUACAGAAACUGGAGAAGGUGGUCACGACCAAUUAUAAACCUGUUGCCAAUCAUCAGUACAAUAUUGAAUAUGAGAAGAGAAAGAAAGAAACCGGAAAGAGAGUGAAGGCGGAUAAAGACCGAGUGUUAACCUUGCUAUUUGCUGCCUUUGAGAAACACCAGUAUUAUAACAUAAAGGACUUGGUUGGCAUCACUAUGCAACCUGUGGUGUACCUGAAGGAAAUCUUGAAUGAAAUCGGUGUUCGAAAUGUAAAAGGACCCCACAAAAACACUUGGGAGCUGAAGGCAGAGUACCGGUGUUACCAGAGAGAAGCCAAGAGAGAGUGAGACAGCCCUAUGUCACGAAGAUGCCAAUAGGAGCUUGAAGAUCUUCCAACACAAAAACUGAUGAGGCUCUAUUAGGGGGUAGGGCGGUUUAAUAUCUUUUUAAGUAUUCACAUUUAGAUUGUAAAACAGGGAAAUAAAAUAGGCUGUAAAUUGAGAAAAUAUUAUCUGAGGACUUCUCAUCUUUGCUGCAUCCACAGAGAGCUCAACUCAUCUAAGUCUAAAGAGACCUGGCAUCAGAAACUGGGCAGGGGUGGGCUGGGGAUGGGGCUAGGGGUGGAGGUGGGGGUUCUGCUGGGAGUGGGGAUGGAGGCAAGCAAAUUCAAUAUUCUAAAAUGACUGAAAAACAAAGUUGUUUCUGAAAUGUUUAAGAUAUGGUCCCUUCGUAUGUAGAAACAUGAAUGAAAAAAUAUUAAGGGUAAGAGGGUGAGAUCAUUAAAACUACUAAUUGACAGGUAGAGGAGGAUGGUGCUUGAUGGAGUGGAAACAGGUUGGAUUACAGGUCCUUUACUUACUUCAAGGAAGUUGCAUGUGGAUUGUAUUUUGUUUUUCUUAAUGGUAAUUUGGGGUUUUUUGUUUGUCUGGU